CCACUCACUGCCUUUGAAGAAGAGUGGGAAGGAGCCAAAUGCUGGAGCUGAGCUUGUUCUGGGGGAGACAACCUACAGAACCAAGGUGUGUGAUCGUACCAACUCCCCCCAAUGGGAAGAGGCUUUC